CUGUAGUGAUGACAAUCUUAGGACACCUUUGGAUUAAUGAUGAAAAGAAUUGUUUUCUGAGCAGC
ensembl:snoRNA SNORD58 Small nucleolar RNA SNORD58